rnacentral:lncRNA from 1 species
AGCUAAAUUUCCUAUAGCCAAAUGUAGCUUGGUGACACAAAAUACUGUAUUUGGUUAUUUAAAAGAAGAGGGGGAGGUAAAACGUAAGAAGGCCAGAGCACCUGGGACCUUGUUUUACUAAAGCUUAUUAUGUUUCAGUGGCCCUGGUUCCCCAUGACAAAAGUACAAAGAGUACCCGCAAGAAGUAAGUUGAAGAUAAGGAGUGAGGAGAAGGAAGGUUAGUGGUAAGGCCACCAGUGAUUCUAACAGCAAAGGGACAAGAAAAAAGACUGGAACUUUAUUUAGAGGAUAAAGCUGAUGCCUGGCUUGCCAUCUUGCCCAGAUGGGACCUCAGGCAUAGGUUCCUAACUGUGAAUAUCCUGAUUUUGAAGAAAACAGUAGAUUAAUUUCAACUGCUGGCAGCUUUCACUUGACCUUGCAAAGGUUACAAUUAUCCAGAAAUCUCAUACCUAUGAGGGAAGCCAACUUCUGUGUCAUGAGGACAUUCAAGCAGCACUAUGGAGCCAUCCAUGUGGCUAGGAGCUGAAACUGAGCCAAGAAGCAGUGAGGAACUGGCUGGUAACAGCCAUGUGGGUAAAAGCCAUCUGAGAAGUGCAUGCUCUAGUCUCAGUCAAGCCUUCAGAAGACUGUGGCACCUGACAUCUCCACUGCAACCUCAUUAGAAACUCAAGACAGAACUGCCAGAGAAGCUCUUCCUGAAUUUCUGACCUACAGAAACGGUGUCAAAAAGAUAUUUAUUAUUGUUUUGAGCCCUAAGUUUUUGGAGUGACUUGUUGCUCCAAAUAUAUUAGAUAAUAUAUUAUAUAUGUAAGGUAACAUUUCAGUUUUGACAUUUUCACAUGCAUGAUCAGUUAUUUCAGCACUAUUUAAAAAUUUCUUUCUAUCUUCUGUUAUCAGCAAGAUCAGCUGUGUCAUAAAUUAAGUUUCCAAUUAUAUGUAGAUUUGAUUCUGGACUCUUUAUUCUGUUUCACAGGUCACGUUGCUUAUUCUUGAGUGAAUACUUCAUUAUUUAAUUAUUAUAUAUAUAUAUUUGAUAAGGCAUACAGUUUGCUAUAGUCUUACCUAUUUUUAAACCUUUGGUCUUUUAUAUCCUUAGAAUCACCUUGACAUUCUUUACAAGAAAAUCCAUCGGGUUUUGAGUGGAAUUACACUGAGUAUAAGUACCAGUUGGGGAAAAAUUGACAUCUUUAGUAUGUCGAAUCUUUUAAUCCAUUUGUAAUCCAUGCUGUGUUACUGUUUUUAUUUGGAGUUGUCUUUCAAAAUGUUUUACAGUUUUCUUUGCAAAGGUCACAUACAUCUUUUGUUAGUUCCAUUACUAGGUAUUUCAUUUUUAUACACAAGAAUGAAAUAUUAAUAGAUCCUUAAAGAAAAUAACAUUUAAAAUAGCAUAAGAUAUAUCAAAUUGCUCAAGUCAGAAACUGGCACAUAAUAAAUACAUCAUAAAUGUCCUAAACCAGAUGUAUGAAUGAAUAAAUAAAUGGAUGAGUGGAUGAAUAUGAGACCCAGUAUGCCUAUCUAUAACCUAUUAUUUCAGAUACCAUUCUGCUUAGGUAUUCAGUAUUCUCAAGGGAUUUUUCUCCACAAUAAGAAAACUUGAUGCUUCCAGUUCUUACCUCAGUAUGCCACUGAUAAAGUAAAACAGAUCUAAAAGAAUAGUUUCAAAGAGAUGUAAAAUGACACCUUAUGUCAACUUGUCUUUUCCUUUUUCAUGACUCCUUUUUCUUCUUUCUAACUUUUGGCAUCUGUAAUUGAGAUUUCCUUCCAAGCAUAUUUAGCUCAACUUAAAUAUACUUCAUUGAGGCUUUGGCAAACCUUUUCAAGUAUAAGGAUAAUACAGAAUUAUCUAUUUUUCUAUAGUUUGUUUUAUUGCUGCUGUUAUUGUUGUUUUAUUUUGUUUGCUAUAAAGAUUAGCCUCUUGUUCAAUGGAAAAUAUGAUCAAAAACAGUGUUCAAAAAUUAUUUAAGGGCCCCAUCACUACAGCAAUCAUUAGUCCUACUGUGUAUGAAAUUUCUAAGUAUUUCUAAAUGCUCAACCCUAGACAUGCCCUUCACUGAUAUUUUUAAUGUGCUUUCAGUACCUUGGCCAUUUAAUAACUUAUGUUCUUUUUUCAAAAUCUUAGGAAGAAAUUGUGUUUUGGAAUUGGGCCAACAGUAUGUGUUUCUCCGGUGGAUAAGCAAAAUUUCAUAAGAACAAAGAUGAUUCAAGCAGAUGUUUAUCAUGAAACUGCCAUAAAAAGCACCCGAAGUCACAAAGAUAAACAUCAAAUCCAGUCCUUGGAAAUUUCCCCCACCCUACCUGAGCAUCUUUUGAAGUAGAUAUUCAAUUAUUUUGAAGGAUUUUUAAAGAAUUUUCUAGAUUUCAUCUAAAAGACACUUUUGAAAUCUGCGUUAAAAUUCAUGGAAAUAUAUCCUAGAUGAAUUUGGAGGAAUGUAAGCAAGUAGGUACAAACCUUUAUUUUAUCCCUCAGUGACUCACUCAGUUGUGAAUAGGAAGGGCUCUCUGUGAUCUGGCCACAGCUUAUUUCUUGCCACAUUCCUAUUUUCAGUCCUCUUCCAAUCAUGUGGAACUUCCAGCAUCUCCUUACACAUGCCAUGUUAUUUCACACUUUUGUGACUUUGCUCAUAUUUUUCUCUCUCCCUGGAAAGCUCCCCGACAACCUCCACUGCCAUUACCCACUAGGCAAGUACAUCCUGUUUUCAGAAUCAGCCCAAUAUCAUCUUUCCUAGGGAAUCUUGUCAGACUGCCCUUCAUUACCAACAGACAAAAUAACUACCUUAUCUUUGGUUCUGUCUUCACUCUAGACCUAUGUAGCAUGCUACUUAUAACACUGCAUUGGUUUGUUGGCAUUUGUAUUUUCCACUGAGCAACCAUAACUUAUGUGUAGACAAAAAUUGUAUUGCUCACCUUUGGAUUACUAGGACCUAGCAGUGUUCUGAUUCAGAGUAUGUACUCAAUAAAUUCAUCUUGAAAAGUGAAUGAAUGAAUAAAUGAACGCCUGCAUCUCCAUCAUUGAUUUACUAUUUAAUCAGUGAAGUUUUUAAAUUAUAUUCCCCCAUAUCUUGAGAUUUGAUCUUGUGUUAAAUCAGUUGCACAUAUUAGACAUUACUUUGUCCUUUUCACUUCUCCUUAGCACAUAUGGGCUAUAUAAUCUUUAUAAAGGUUAAAGAAAUAUAUUGUAAUAUGUUAUAACACAAUCAAGAUACAUCUGAAACAACAUAGUGCAGGCACUAUUUCCGAUGUUCAACAUCAUGCUGGAGUAAAACUUAGAGACUCUUGGAAAAAAGAAAUACUUAAAUAAUGUCACCAGUGUAAUGUGCUACAUUGUAAUGGUGUUAUGCUUAUUACAUGUGUUAUCUAGUAAUGCACAAAAAGCCUAAUGGAUUUGCUCAUAUUUUCCUCAUGUGCAAAUGAAAACACUGAGUCUCAGAGAGAUUAAAUAAAUUGCCAAAUGUCAUGUCAAGCGAUUUUGAUCCUGGUAUUUCUAAUAUAAAAGCCCAUGUUUUAAUUUAUUAACUGUUUGACAUAUAACAAUAAUAGAUCAUUACAUGUUAAUAUAAAUAACCUAUGUAUGAAGACUAAUUAUAUUUUUACUUCUGCAUUCAAUCAACUGCAACAUGUCAUUUUGGUUGAUGUGUACAGAAAAUACUCAACAUCUCGCAGAUAUUGGGUUGGAAAACAGAGGACAUUUUUAUAUCUGUUUCAGAUAAAUGUAUAUAUUUUUCUUUGAUAGUACACCAAAAUUUGACAAGUGACUAUUUCUUAAAGGGUAGUUGCAGCAUGAAAUCCAAAAUAACAUCAAUAAACUUUUCAUUCUCUGUUACACUAAAA